rnacentral:rRNA from 1 species
UACAGAGGCCUCAAGCGUUAUCCGGAAUCAUUGGGCGUAAAGCGUACCGAUAGGUGGUUGACAAAGUCAGAGGUGAAAUCUCAAGGCUCAACCUUGAGUCUGUCCUUUGAUACUUGUAAACUUGAGGGGCAAAGAGGAAGCUGGAACAAACGGUGUAGUAGUGAAAUGCGUUGAUAUCGUUUGGAACACCAAGAGCGUAGGCAGGCUUCUGGGUGCCACCUGACACUGCUAGGACGAAAGCGUGGGGAGCGAAUGGG